rnacentral:tRNA from 1 species
UCCCUGGUAGUCCAGGGGCUAAGACUUCUUGCUCCUAAAGCUAGGGACCCAGGUUCGAUCCCUGGUCAGGGAA